rnacentral:rRNA from 1 species
UACGUAGGCAGCAAGCGUUGUUCGGAAUUACUGGGCGUAAAGGGCGCGUAGGCGGCAAUUCAAGUCAUCUGUGAAAUCUCCGGGCUUAACUCGGAACGGUCAGAUGAUACUGCUUUGCUAGAGUGCAGAAGGGGCAAUCGGAAUUCUUGGUGUAGCGGUGAAAUGCGUAGAUAUCAAGAGGAACACCUGAGGUGAAGACGGGUUGCUGGGCUGACACUGACGCUGAGGCGCGAAAGCCAGGGGAGCAAACGGG